GAUGAAGAACGCAGCAAAAUGCGAUAAGUAAUGUGAAUUGCAGAAUUCAGUGAAUCAUCGAAUCUUUGAACGCACAUUGCGCCCGCUGGUAUUCCGGCGGGCAUGCCUGUUCGAGCGUCAUUUCAACCCUCAAGCCCCCGGGUUUGGUGUUGGGGAUCGGCUCUGCCCUUCUGGGCGGUGCCGCUCCCGAAAUACAUUGGCGGUCUCGCUGCAGCCUCCAUUGCGUAGUAGCUAACACCUCGCAACUGGAACGCGGCGCGGCCAUGCCGUAAAACCCCAACUUCUGAAUGUUGACCUCGGAUCAGGUAGGAAUACCCGCUGAACUUAAGCAUAUCAAUAAGCGGAGGA
rnacentral:misc_RNA from 1 species